rnacentral:ncRNA from 1 species
GAAGCGAGCAGAGGCUUAGAACCACGUUCCGUAGAAGGUGGGCACAUUAGGGGCGCGGGGAGCUAGUGGUGGAACCAGCUGCCGCGUA